AGGUUUAGCAUAGCCUACUCCAAUCUCCCAUCACCAUGAAGCCAUUCCUUGUGUGCUUUCUCUUGAUUUCAGUCCUCCUCUCUCCCUCUUGCGUUAGUGCUCGAGAGCUGACUCAAAAUGAAGAAAUGAGUAGCGAUAAGGUGGGCUUUAUAGCAGGGAAUUUACCUGAUCCACCUUCUACAAGCAAGUGCAAUCCCGGAUCAAGGGACUGUAAAAGAAUGCAUAAAAGUCCACCCAGCCCCAAAAUAUAUAAAAGCCCACACAAUCCACCUCCCAGCCCCAAAAUAUAUAAAAGCCCACACAAUCCACCUCCCAGCCCCAAAAUAUAUAAAAGCCCACACAAUCCACCACCCAGCCCCAAAAUAUAUAAAAGCCCAUACAGUCCACCUCCCAGCCCCAAAAUAUAUAAAAGCCCACGCAUUCCACCACCCAGCCCCAAAAUAUAUAAAAGCCCACGCAUUCCACCUCCCAGCCCCAAAAUAUAUAAAAGCCCACACAAUCCACCACCCAGCCCCAAAAUAUAUAAAAGCCCACGCAUUCCACCUCCCAGCCCCAAAAUAUAUAAAAGCCCACACAAUCCACCACCCAGCCCCAAAAUAUAUAAAAGUCCAUACAGUCCACCACACAGCCCCUACCACCCACCAGGCCCUUGAAACUGAGAAGAAGCUCAACAAGCUCGACAGGCAUUGUAUCUAAGGCUUAGUAUGUAUGAAGGAGGUUGAUUUGGAGUCGGUGGUUUCAAGUGUUGGAUUAUAUAUAUACAAUCCAGAAGUACUAUGUAUUACCAGUUUGAUUGAUUAAUGAUAGAAUUGUUUCUGUUUCUUCCUUUCUGA